AUUGAACGCUGGCGGCAUGCCUUACACAUGCAAGUCGAACGGCAGCACGGGAGCUUGCUCCUGGUGGCGAGUGGCGAACGGGUGAGUAAUACAUCGGAACGUACCCAGUAGUGGGGGAUAACGCACCGAAAGGUGCGCUAAUACCGCAUACGACCUACGGGGGAAAGCGGGGGACCGUAAGGCCUCGCGCUAUUGGAGCGGCCGAUGUACGAUGAGCAAGUUGGCGGGGUAAUAGCCCACCAAGGCGACGAUCAGAAGCUGGUCUGAGAGGACGAGACGCGACACUGGGCGUUGGACACCGCCCAGACUCCUACGGGAGGCAGCAGUGGGGAAUUUUGGACAAUGGGGGCAACCCUGAUCCAGCAAUGCCGCGUGUGCGAAGAAGGCCUUCGGGUUGUAAAGCACUUUUGUCAGGGAAGAAAUCUUUCAGGCUAAUACCCUUGGAAGGAUGACGGUACCUGAAGAAUAAGCACCGGCUAACUACGUGCCAGCCGCCGCAGUAA
rnacentral:rRNA from 1 species